UACCAGCUCGACAUGACGUUCAAAUUU
rnacentral:piRNA from 1 species